rnacentral:rRNA from 1 species
AUGAACCUAACUGAUCCAAAGCAGAUUAUCUGUUACUACUUGCUAAGUGCCGACCUUGAAGCCAAAACCAAAUGCAUUAGUCUGCUUUGGAACUGGUGGAAGUGUAGAAACAAGGUGAAUUUUGAGGGAAAAAAGUUUUGUUGCAACUCAGUUGUUUUUCAGGCUGGUUCUGAUGCAAAGGAGUAUGUAGAGUUCUUUGCACAGCGCAAAGAUUCAAGUCCAAAAACAGUGCAAGGGUGGAAGCCCCCGCCACAGGAUAUUCUAAAGAUUAACGCUGAUGGAAGUUUCCAUAGUGACAAGAAGUGUGGUGGCUGGGGGUUUGUGAUCCGAGACCACAUGGGAGAUGUAAUGGGUGCAGGUGCUGGCAGGGUGGAGUACGCCCAAGAUGUUCUACAGGUGGAGGCUGAAGCGUGUGUGCAUGCCUUGAACUAUGCCCAGGAGUGGGGAAUGAUCAACAUCUUGGUAGAGACGGAUGCGCAGAAUUUGGUCCAAGCUAUCACUAACACGAAGAACUACGAUCUAGCGCCAAAUGGAGUCCUUUUUAGGGAAAUAAUUGCCCUUGCUAUGUUGCAUUUAAGUUCUUUUUCUAUCUCUUUUUGCCCACGGGAUUGUAAUAAUGUUGCGGAUGCUCUAGCGACGCACGGAUCGAAGAUGGUGCAUGUGUCCCAAGCCGUAUGGCCGGGCGCUGCUCCUACCUUUAUCCGAGACUUGAUUGCCGACGAUCUUGUUCGGCGUGGUUAA